GACGAACGCUGGCGGCGUGCUUAACACAUGCAAGUCGUACGGUAAGGCCCUUUCGGGGGUACACGAGUGGCGAACGGGUGAGUAACACGUGAGUAACCUGCCCACAACUUUGGGAUAACGCUAGGAAACUGGUGCUAAUACUGGAUAUGUGCUCCUUCUGCAUGGUGGGGGUUGGAAAGCUCCGGCGGUUGUGGAUGGACUCGCGGCCUAUCAGCUUGUUGGUGGGGUAGUGGCCUACCAAGGCGGCGACGGGUAGCCGGCCUGAGAGGGUGACCGGCGACAGUGGGACUGAGAUACGGCCCAGACUCCUACGGGAGGCAGCAGUGGGGAAUAUUGCACAAUGGGCGCAAGCCUGAUGCAGCAACGCCGCGUGCGGGAUGACGGCCUUCGGGUUGGAAACCGCUUUCAGCAGGGACGAAGCUUCUUGUGACGGUACCUGCAGAAGAAGCACCGGCUAACUACGUG
rnacentral:rRNA from 1 species